CGGCGAGUGAAGCGGCAACAGCUCAAAUUUGAAAUCUGGCCCCAGGCCCGAGUUGUAAUUUGUAGAGGAUGUUUCUGGCGAAGUGCCUUCCGAGUUCCCUGGAACGGGACGCCAUAGAGGGUGAGAGCCCCGUACGGUUGGUUGCCUAGCCUCUGUGAAACUCCUUCGACGAGUCGAGUAGUUUGGGAAUGCUGCUCUAAAUGGGAGGUAUACGUCUUCUAAAGCUAAAUACCGGCCAGAGACCGAUAGCGCACAAGUAGAGUGAUCGAAAGAUGAAAAGCACUUUGAAAAGAGGGUUAAAUAGUACGUGAAAUUGUUGAAAGGGAAGCGUUUAUGACCAGACUUGGACAGGUUGAUCAUCCGUCGUUCUCGGCGGUGCACUCUGCCUGUCCAGGCCAGCAUCAGUUCGCCCCGGGGGAUAAAGACUUCGGGAAUGUGGCUCCCUCGGGAGUGUUAUAGCCCGUUGUGCAAUAC
rnacentral:rRNA from 1 species